GCAGACACAUUCCAGCCAAUCAGCAGCAGACCCUCCCUCCCAGACCCUCCCACCUCCUGGACAGCAUCCAUUGUGAAGCUGCAUUCUUAGUGAGCUGUCCAGGAGGUGGGAGAGUCUGGGAGGGAGGGUCUGCUGCUGAUUGGCUGGAAUGUGUCUG